GACGAACGCUGGCGGCGUGCUUAACACAUGCAAGUCGAACGGAAAGGCCCUGCUUUUGUGGGGUGCUCGAGUGGCGAACGGGUGAGUAACACGUGAGUAACCUGCCCUUGACUUUGGGAUAACUUCAGGAAACUGGGGCUAAUACCGGAUAGGAGCUCCUGCUGCAUGGGGGGGGUUGGAAAGUUUCGGCGGUUGGGGAUGGACUCGCGGCUUAUCAGCUUGUUGGUGGGGUAGUGGCUUACCAAGGCUUUGACGGGGAGCCGGCCUGAGAGGGUGACCGGCCACAUUGGGACUGAGAUACGGCCCAGACUCCUACGGGAGGCAGCAGUGGGGAAUAUUGCACAAUGGGCGGAGGCCUGAUGCAGCAACGCCGCGUGCGGGAUGACGGCCUUCGGGUUGUAAACCGCUUUCGCCUGUGACGAAGCGUGAGUGACGGUAAUGGGUAAAGAAGCACCGGCUAACUACGUG
rnacentral:rRNA from 1 species